UACGAAGGGGGCUAGCGUUGCUCGGAAUCACUGGGCGUAAAGCGCACGUAGGCGGCUUCUUAAGUCAGGGGUGAAAUCCUGGAGCUCAACUCCAGAACUGCCUUUGAUACUGAGAGCUUGAGUCCGGGAGAGGUGAGUGGAACUGCGAGUGUAGAGGUGAAAUUCGUAGAUAUUCGCAAGAACACCAGUGGCGAAGGCGGCUCACUGGCCCGGUACUGACGCUGAGGUGCGAAAGCGUGGGGAGCAAACAGGAUAGAAACC
rnacentral:rRNA from 1 species